rnacentral:rRNA from 1 species
CCCAAUCCCGACACGGGGAGGUAGUGACAAUAAAUAACAAUAUAGGGCUCUUUCGGGUCUUAUAAUUGGAAUGAGUACAAUUUAAAUCCCUUAACGAGGAACAAUUGGAGGGCAAGUCUGGUGCCAGCAGCCGCGGUAAUUCCAGCUCCAAUAGCGUAUAUUAAAGUUGUUGCAGUUAAAAAGCUCGUAGUUGAACUUCAGGCCUGGCUGGGCGGUCCGCCUAACGGUGUGUACUGUCUGGCUGGGACUUACUUCUUGGUGAGCCGGUGUGCCCUUUAUUGGCGUGCAUCGGGGAACCAGGACUU